GAUGAACGCUAGCGACAGGCCUAACACAUGCAAGUCGAGCGGCAGCGGGAAAGUAGCUUGCUACUUUUGCCGGCGAGCGGCGGACGGGUGAGUAAUGCCUGGGAAAUUGCCCAGUCGAGGGGGAUAACAGUUGGAAACGACUGCUAAUACCGCAUACGCCCUACGGGGGAAAGCAGGGGACCUUCGGGCCUUGCGCGAUUGGAUAUGCCCAGGUGGGAUUAGCUAGUUGGUGAGGUAAUGGCUCACCAAGGCGACGAUCCCUAGCUGGUCUGAGAGGAUGAUCAGCCACACUGGAACUGAGACACGGUCCAGACUCCUACGGGAGGCAGCAGUGGGGAAUAUUGCACAAUGGGGGAAACCCUGAUGCAGCCAUGCCGCGUGUGUGAAGAAGGCCUUCGGGUUGUAAAGCACUUUCAGCGAGGAGGAAAGGUUGAUGCCUAAUACGUAUCAACUGUGACGUUACUCGCAGAAGAAGCACCGGCUAACUCCGUGCCAGCCGCCGCAGUAAGAC
rnacentral:rRNA from 1 species